rnacentral:rRNA from 1 species
UACGGAGGGGGCUAGCGUUGUCCGAAGUUACUGGGCGUAAAGCGCGCGUAGGCGGGUUGGUAAGUCCGCUGUGAAAGCCCGGAGCUCAACUCCGGAGGGUCGGUGGAUACUGCCAGUCUUGAAGGUGCUAGUGGGAGAUGGAAUUACCGGUGUAGCGGUGAAAUGCGUAGAUAUCGGUAGGAACACCAGUGGCGAAGGCGGUCUCCUGGGGCAUUCUUGACGCUGAGGCGCGAAAGCGUGGGGAGCAAACAGG